GGUGAAGGUGGCGGAGGCCUCGAUGGACAUGUUAACGCCACCGUGUUCACCGAAUUCAUGGCGAGCAUUGGCUAAAGCCGCCGCUGGAUCUUCCCAUACAAGCGAUUUUGAUUGUUUUUUGCUCACGAAUAAGGUAUCAUCGUGAUGGUCACAGUCAUCGGAACCCGACGAUCUCUUCUUGUUAGAGAAGGUGUUUUGGUUCAAUGUAUCUGCCAUUUUCGUGGAGAGAAAAAACAGUAGAACCUCUUUUGAUAAGUAGAUUUCGG
rnacentral:misc_RNA from 1 species